UCGUGCGUAGUAUAAUGGCUAGUAUAUAUCGUUCUCACUUACGUAAUCAAUGAUGCUGAGUUGCCCCGAUAAGAUCCGGGUUCGAUCCCCGGCGCGCGAA